AACGAACGCUGGCGGCGUGGAUAAGACAUGCAAGUCGAACGGGACAACAUCUGUAGCAAUACAGGUGUUGUUUAGUGGCGAACGGGUGCGUAACACGUGGGCAAUCUGCCGAGAAGUGGGGGAUAGCUCGCCGAAAGGCGAAUUAAUACCGCAUAUGAUCAGUGAAGACAUCUUCACGACAUCAAAGCCGGGGCAACCUGGCGCUUCUUGAUGAGCCCGCGGCCUAUCAGCUAGUUGGUGAGGUAACGGCUCACCAAGGCUAUGACGGGUAGCUGGUCUGAGAGGACGACCAGUCACACUGGAACUGAGACACGGUCCAGACACCUACGGGUGGCAGCAGUCGAGUAAUUUUCUCAAUGGGGCAACCCUGAAGGAGCGACGCCGCGUGGAGG
rnacentral:rRNA from 1 species